rnacentral:rRNA from 1 species
UACGAAGGGGGCAAGCGUUGUUCGGAAUUACUGGGCGUAAAGGGCGCGCAGGCGGCCGAUCAAGUCAGAUGUGAAAGCCCCGGGCUCAACCUGGGAAUAGCAUUUGGGACUGGUCGGCUAGAGUUCGGGAGAGGAGAGUGGAAUUCCCAGUGUAGAGGUGAAAUUCGUAGAUAUUGGGAAGAACACCGGUGGCGAAGGCGGCUCUCUGGACCGACACUGACGCUGAGGCGCGAAAGCGUGGGGAGCGAACAGGA